CUCGGUACGUCUACAGACUCUCUACAGAGACGCACCCUAGGAGUGCGCGAUCAGGAGGGGCUCAAGGACCGACUGGAGCCGGGCCCCGCCUACCUACCGGCAACCUCGGGCAAGGGGUGGAAAAAAGGGGCCGGCGAUGGAGCCAGCCACCGCUGCCCCCGGCAAGAUGGCGGCCGUGAAAAGCCGGGCAGGGGGCGCCAGCCACCCGCCGUUACCGCUGGCGCGCCAGCUCUUCGCAAGUAGGGCUUCUCCACAGAGCAACCCUCUCCGCACGGCCGCCGUUGUUCCGGGGAAGGCAGCUGUCCCACCCACCAGCCCGUCCCGCCCGGGAAGCCAAGUCCCCGGACUCUCCCUGAGGACUGGCCUCAAGCUCGCCACAGUCCCGCUUACUUGUCAGCGGAAACCAGCUCCGCGGCGAUGGCAGCAGCGGCUGUAGACUCUGUGGCCAUCGUUCCCCUGAGGUGGUGGGCCAGUGGGCAGAACACUGCCUGCGAAGAAAACCAGAGAAUUCCGGACAGCAGAGACUCACUCAGGUAGAGAAAAUGGCAGAUUGGAGACCCCGCGCGGUUGAGGCCCUCUUAUAUACCAGGUCCCUUGUCCCGCCCAUCCACUUCCGGAUCCUCCCCCCUCGGAUUUAAAGGACUAGGACUCAACACCUUUCUGUCACAAGGACACAGCCCUGUAUCCCUUCCCGUUUGGGUAUCUUCCCGCCCUAGCCCGUUUUUCCUUAAAAAAAGAAAAAAAGAAAAAGAAAGUAAGAUAGAAAGGAAAAAGAAAACAAAAAUCAAACAAUUUCCUGCUUCUGUGGCUAGUCGUGAUAGAAGCAAAAUCUCAGUACUACAACUUCUGAAUGGGAGCCAGCCUAGAGAUUCCACAAUUAAGUGGAGCCAGUGAGUCUCUGCGACUGUGGAAAAAGUAGUCCCGAAGGUGUCUUUCUGACGGGGAUACCCGAGAAGGUGACAGGUAUUCCCUAUGUCCUCUCAGUCUUAACGGAUGGAAACGCAAGAGCUGAGCACGAGUACAGCAGCAACGGCUAGAACUGACCAGACAGACGCGUGGCUCUGGGCCUCAGCAACUACUGACGAAACAAGAUGCUGCUCUAGGAUUGGCUACAGAUAAAACUAUCGCGCUUGAUUCAAAACUCUUAGAGGGGCAAAGGGAUGCGGGUGUUUAGAUCCACCGCCUUUGACUGAUCCAAUCCGUUGCUGCCAUCAUCUUACUUUACCCACGUCCAAGUUGUUAAGUUAAAUCCUGUACUUAAAACACUUUAAAUAUUUUAGCUGUCUCUCUUUUUUUUUCUUUCAUAUAUAUUAGGUAGGGACUUACAGUCUAUCCCUGGCUAGCCUGAAACUUGCUAUUUAGACCCACUGAUCUCUAACCCACAGACAUCUGCCUGCCUGUGAUUGCGAGGGCUGGGAUUACAGGUGAGCAGCACCACACACGCCUUCUUUUACAACCUUUUGUAACUCCAGUUCAAGGGCAUUCAAUCAAUGCCUUCCUGUGACCACCAGAGCCACUAGGCACACACAUGGUACACAUUUAUGUAUGCAGAUACACUCAUACACAUUAAAUAAAAGUAAAUGUGGCUGGAAAAUUCGCUAGGAGGUUAGGAGCACUUGUUAUUCUUGCAAAGGAUCCUGUUUCAAUUCCCAGCACCCACAAGGCGCCUCACCACUUCGUUAAGCUCCAGGCAUGCAUAUGGUGCACAGACAUGGAUGUAGGUAAAGCAUUUAUUCACACAAAA
rnacentral:lncRNA from 1 species